rnacentral:rRNA from 1 species
AUGAUGCUUCGCAUGCAAAGCCUGUGCCCCCCUCGUCGGGUGUCGGUGGACGGCCCAAUCAUCGUCGGUGCCGGUCCCUCCGGGCUCGCCGUGGCGGCCAGCCUCGGCGAGGAGGGCAUGCCAUUCCUCAUGCUGGAGCGCGAGGACUGCAUCGCCUCGCUCUGGCAGAAGCGCACCUACGACCGCGUCAAGCUGCACAUCCCCAAGCACUUCUGCGAGCUCCCUCGCAUGCCCUUCCCGGAGAGCUACCCGGAGUACCCCACCCGCCGCCAGUUCAUCGACUACCUCGAGAGCUACGCCGCUAGGUUCGACAUUAAGCCCGAGUUCAACACCACCGUGCUCUCCGCCCACUACGACAACACCUCCGGACUCUGGCACGCGCAGGCCACCCGCGCGGGCGGUGCCCAGAUGGAGUACAUCGGCCGCUGGCUCGUGGUCGCCACUGGCGAGAACGCCGUCAACGUCGUGCCGGACAUCCCGGGCCUUGGCGGCUUCUGCGGCGAGGUCACCCACGUCAGCCACUACAAGUCCGGCGAGCCCUACAGCGGGAAGCGCGUGCUCGUCGUCGGCUGCGGGAACUCCGGCAUGGAGGUCUCCCUCGACCUCUGCGACCACGGCGCCCACCCUUUCAUGGUGGUGCGCGACGCAAUGCACGUCAUUCCGCGCGAGGUGCUCGGCAAGUCCACUUUCGAGCUGGCCAUGCUGCUCAUGGCGUGGCUCCCGCUCUGGAUCGUGGACAAGAUCAUGAUCUUCCUCGCCUGGCUCGUCCUCGGCGACCUCGACAAGCUCGGCAUCCACCGCCCGGCUGUCGGCCCGCUCACGCUCAAGCACACGCAAGGCCGCGCCCCGGUGCUCGACACUGGCGCGCUCGCCAGGAUCAGGAGCGGCCAAAUCACCGUCGUCCCUGGCAUCACCCGCUUCACGAACUCCGACGCCGUGCUCUCCGAUGGCACCGUCGUCCAUGUCGACGCUGUCAUCCUGGCCACCGGCUACAGAAGCAAUGUGCCACAGUGGCUCCGGGCAACGGACUUCUUCGGCAAGGACGGCUACCCAAAGACGGAGUUCCCCAACGGCUGGAAGGGCCAGUUUGGCCUCUACUCCGUCGGCUUCGCGCGACGCGGCCUCUCCGGCGCCUCCGCCGAUGCCGUGCGCAUCGCCAAGGACCUCUGCCAGCUCUGGAAGGAGGAGAGCAGGCCCGCGAAGAAGGCCGGCCGCCCGUGCUAUAGGAGGUCUAUCUCCGUCGUCUUGUAA